UGAGCUACAUGUCCAGAGCUACAUCAGAAUUUCUGCUGUGCUCUCACACGAGGAGUGCCACCAACAAAGGGAUCCCGCUGUUACCUGCAGUCCCUGCCCUAUGCUUCCUUGGUCUCACGAGGUGACUCUGCACCCUCCUGCACACACCAGGCCACACUGAUGCAUUCAGACACAUUCUCUGGAGCCACUCAGGUGCCACUGGCAAGUGGCACUAAAUCACUGAGCAUCUGUGGCCAAGGGUCAACUCAGAGUGAGAAGAAUGGG
rnacentral:lncRNA from 1 species